GAGCGGAAACGAUGGGUGCUUGCACCCAGGCGUCGAGCGGCGGACGGGUGAGUAACGCGUGAGAAUCUGCCCAUUUGUGGGGGAUAACUCGGGGAAACUCGAGCUAAUACCGCAUAAUCCCUACGGGGGAAAGCAGGGGACCUUCGGGCCUUGUGCAGAUGGAUGAGCUCGCGUCGGAUUAGCUUGUUGGUGGGGUAAAGGCCUACCAAGGCGACGAUCCGUAGCUGGUCUGAGAGGAUGAUCAGCCACACCGGGACUGAGACACGGCCCGGACUCCUACGGGAGGCAGCAGUGGGGAAUCUUGGACAAUGGGGGCAACCCUGAUCCAGCCAUGCCGCGUGUGUGAAGAAGGCCUUCGGGUUGUAAAGCACUUUCAGCAGGGAGGAAGGCUUACUGUUAAUACCGGUGAGUACUUGACGUUACCUGCAGAAGAAGCACCGGCUAAUUUCGUGCCAGCAGCCGCGGUAAUACGAAAGGUGCGAGCGUUAAUCGGAAUUACUGGGCGUAAAGCGCGCGUAGGCGGUUUG
rnacentral:rRNA from 1 species